UUGGCUCUGAACCAAGGCCAGUAGUUGCUGAUGCUAUUGAUUUCAAGCAGGAGCCUAAAGAAAUACCUUUGUACGGUCAGCUGCCCAUUUCAUAUAACUUUGAGAAUAUAAUUUAUUUAUUUAUUAGAAAUAAACAUCU
ensembl:snoRNA